UAAGCUUUAAUAAAAAAAAAACACUAGCAUCCUACCCUUAAAUUCCUUCAUGAUUUACGGCCCUGCCAUUCCUUUUUCGUUGGCCAGCUGUCUUCGUUCUCCCUUCCCUGUCUUCGUCCUCUUGUGUCCUUCUGCUUCCCCUCCUCUGCAAUGGCGUUACUUCAUCUUCCAUACUAAUCUUUCUCGAUUUUUCCUCUCCAUCUUCUAUUUAUCCUCGUCAAAUUUUAUCAGCUCCUCUAUCUUCUCUCUCUCCUUCGCUUAUUUCCUAUCAAUAAUCUCAAUAUCAACAAACCCUAAAUCCCUAAUUUUGGGAUUUCAAUGAACCAGAGGGAUCACAAGAUUCCAAAUAGUGCCUUAAGGUGCCCACCCCUCUUUCUUUUUCUUCGUGUGGCCGAUUUCCUUUCCUCGACAUGUCGUUGAUGCCUCCACCCUCCUCUUCAUCGCGGUGGUCCCUCCGCCAUCUUCUCUCCUACAUAUCUUCUUCGUUCUGCUGGUUGGUGUUUUAAGAUGUAGAGAUCAGAUUCGAAGAUGUUGGUUAUCACAAACCAAACUGGAUAGGCAAGCAAAAGGAUUAUGCCUACAGUGUUGGAUGCCCCGUUAGCCCUUGUGAAGGAAUUCCUAAACCCUCCUGAUGCUCGGAUGUGUUCUCGGUUCAGCUUUAAUUAGUUUAAUUUUACAGUGUACCCCUUGUAACGAGGGGGGGUGAUAUUUUGUUCUAAGAAUUACUGGUGUCAAACUGUUAGCAUUACUAUAUUAGAUUAUUUUUUUCAUCUUACAAACAAUGUUGACCAAAAUUAGGGUUUCAUUAUUACAUUAUCGAAUUAUUGGUUUUCAUUUCAUCUCUGUUUUUUUCUCAAUCUAAACGUAGGAUGAAGUGAACACGGCCUUGUUUUCCUUUCGUUUUAAUCAGUUUGAAUUGGUUUUUUUUUUUUGCAGUUCCAGCUUCAUGGGAGGGACAGAUGAUUCAGCCUUUACUUGGUUACGAGAAGAGAUGAGAUUUGGUUGAGCAGUCUGGACUCUUAGAAGUUAUUGGAUUCUUCUGCAGAUACAAGCUACUCAAUUGCCCCAAUAUCCUAUUGCCUCAGUCAUGUUUAUCCAAGAAGUUUGUAACUGGGUCGGAGAUUGAAGUAUACAACAUUAAGUGUUGUUCUUCAGGGUUUAUUAAAACCCGACUUUCUUCGCUUCUAUUUGUGAGUUGAUUUCUGAAACCAUCUUGCUCGUUUUAUGCUCUCCUUUUCAGUUUAUAAAUAUCCAUGUACUCUGAAAUUUGUUUAUUAGCUCCUUUUUGGAUGCAUGAAGCAGGUGGUGCAACCCUCCCCUUCAGCUCAUGUAGUAACGAGCAAAACUUCCCAUUCUGGUCCUUCAGCGACAGAUCCCUACUCGCCUGUUGUGUUGCAGAACCCUACCCGCACUUUCUGAAUUGGUGUUAUUCAUUUUCCCUGGUCAGUGGUCCAUCUAUUAGACUUGAUGGGUAACUAGCUAUGCUUGUUGUGUGUCUAUGAUGUUCCUCUCUUAUGUAUUGCUUCUAAUAGAUGUUUGUUCUCCAUGGCCAACCAUCAGUUGUAUCGAGCCGGAGUAAACAGUUGAGAAUGACUCAAGCCUUGUCACACAGUUCAGCCCAUAGGUCAUAUAGUUUUCAAAACUUCCAUUUAUUAGUGCAAAAUACAAAUAUCCUUAAUAAACAAGACUACUGACAUACCUUUUCAAACAAUUCAUCAAGCCAUGAGAGUUUGGUAAAAAGGGGAGUACUUGUUUGAUCUAGAAAAGGUGUAUCUGUUUGAAUGCUAUGAUUCACUUUUAUAUGAACUCCAGUCUAUUUCCUCUUCUUCAUUGUAAUAAGACUUGGGAGGGCUUUGAAAUUGGCGCUUAUCUGGCUCUUGAUCAACAACUCGUCCUUCUUCUUUCUGCUUGGAAUUUGCAACAUUGUCCUACAAUUCCACCAACAUGCCAAAAAGAGUAAGAACAACUCAAGUGGAAGAACAUGUAAGAUGCAAUGUAUGUAAAACUGAAACAUGGUACACUACAUACACGAGUGUUAAGAACUUCCUUUGGCCUUUCUUCCUCACCUAUUAUGCAAACUGAAUCAUCCUUAUCCAUCUUUGCAUCUUGUGCAGCUUGUUCUUCCAGCCUCUUUAUUACCAGCUCAAAAUGUGAAAGAUCUGCAGGCAAAAUGGAUUUCAAACCAUCAGUGAGCUGAGAUCAGAUCAACAAGGAGCACACAAAUUGACAAGAAUGAUGAAAAAGAAAUCACGACCGUGAAGGAGAUGCUACGUACCAAACAUGUAUCGGUCGAGGUAGGCCCAACAACUACAAGGAGGUGGCACUGGAGGAUAACGUCGAUAAGGCUUUGGAGGUUGCGGUCGAGAAGUGAUCUUGAUCAGUUUCAGCAAUGUCUCGCUUUUAUAUGUGUAAAAGUUAUUACAAUAAGUAUGUGUGAAAGCUAAUUAGUACCAAAACUAUGUAUGAUGGCGAUAUGCAUGUAUGCCUUUUGCAAGCAUACCUUGUUUAUAUUGCAUUUCUUAGUAUUGUGAACUACCUUAUGUGGUAGAGUUUUUUUUACGAGGAACAGGGAAGACCUGAAGUUUCACGUUCCUAGGAAAUAAUCAUUGAACCUUUUGGAUCACCUAUGUAUGAGGCAAUCCUAUGGAACCUACGUUAUGUAAGUAAACUACUUCCUCCGUUCCGUAAAUAUCACACCAUUUUGUUUUUUACAUUAUUCACACUA